rnacentral:lncRNA from 1 species
GAAGCUCCCACAUUCAUAGGGGAUAAGAGAGUUUUUCAACAUCUUGGACAGAGGAGGGACAAACCUGGGUUUUUUUUUUUUUAUAGCUUGUCAAUAUUAGUGUCAGCUGUAUUUGAAGUGAAACUCUCUUCAAUUCUAAAAGGAUUUUUCAGUUAAGAAAAAAACAAAGCCAGCAUUCCAAGGUUGUUUUUUAGCAUCCAAAAAGCUUAAAACUAACAAGGAGGAUCUCCACCAGGUAAAGUGCAUUUGGCUGUUGAGGUUUUCCAGUGUCAAAGGUGAAGUAUGGGCUGUAGCCCAGAUUAGCAAAUUCUCUGGGGGGAAGGGGAUAGCCCAUGUGUAGAAAAGAGGAGCAGAGCCAGCAGAUGUCAAGGCUUUGAAAGACAGAAAAAGAUAGGGGGAUGGAAGAAAGACAAGGAGUUCCUGAAGCGGACUGUAACAUUUAAGAGGACUGACUUAACUGUUUUAAAAGAUUUGAAGAACUUAUAGCAGUAUGGUUAUAAAAAUUCAGUUGAUAUUGAUAAUUUUAUGAUCAUGCCUUUAUUAAUAGCUAAUUAAUUUUUCUUGAUAUUCUGGGUCUCUUAGAGCCCAUUUCUUCCUACUCUUAAAAGAAUUUAAUAUCUUCUGAAAUGGAUUUUUUAACGUAUGGAUGGAGAGAAAUUGCAGUAUUGACUAAGUGUGUGUAGAUGAGGGACAGAAUAGCAAGUUCUUUCUCCAUCUGGGCUAAGGAUUUUGAAGGAGUUGGUUUUCAAUCUUCUGGAAAAAGAGAAUGCAGUCUCCUGAAUCCUCUAGAAUUGUUUCUUCUUGGAGAAUUGUAGAAUUUGUCCUGUUUAAUGUCAUCACUUAAUUUGUGCUUAAAAACUUGUUGCAAAAUGAAUUUGUUCAACUAAAAUAAAAGGCUUAAUUUCUGUCUGUAGUCAGUGAAGAGAGGUAGGUACUACUGAAAAGCCUGCAGUAGUGAUCCUGGUUUUUGCUGUAGUGGCAUUCAGGGUUAUUUAUCUCUGUUCCUUUUCCAGGGAACUUAUAAUAAGUCUCACUUUCUGGGUGUCCAACACAUAGAACAGAAACUGGAGGGUCAGCAUUUGUGGACUGGAUUACUUCAGUUUUUCAUACUGGGUGCAAGUUUUGACUGCAUACCUUGACCAAAAGCAAACAUGUAAGCUAUGAAAAAAGCUCCUUUAAAAUCUGUCAGGGAAUGGGUCUUUUUCUGGCCUUCAAUGAAUGCUGGUUUUCUCUUUAAUGAAAUUCAAAAUUUGUUUUCAAAAUCAAGUCUGUCCAGUGACAAUAGAGGAAGUUGAAAUUUUUUAGCUUUAAAGGAUUCUUUUCUAAAGACACAAAACCUUAGCACAGAGCUUUGGAAUUACCUACACAAAUUCUGAGCACUAUUUGACUUCAAAGCAUUUCAUACAUAUCCACUGACCAAUCCCCUUCACUGCUCCCUUGCCAGAAAAGAGCCACUCUUGAGAGAGAAAGCUAUCACAAGACAGUGUGAAAACUGGGAAUUCAAGCAAAAGUUUUCAUUAGAAUUUGUAGUUUUCUUUGGUGCUUUUUACAUGUUAAAAAAAAACCCAAAAAGUCUCUUGCUUUCUACCUCUGCAUUUAAAAUAGUGAGAGUGGUGAUGAAGGAGAAAGAUGAGAGUUUCUAAUAACAGGGUUAGACCCUUGUGAAGACUUAUGCAAAUAUCCCAUGAAAUUAAUAUAUAAUGAAUGGUCAUGGAGCAUUUCUGAGGCAGCCUCAGCAUGCCAAUAUAUGUCAGCCUAGCUGAAUGAUUAUUUUCUUUGUGGACUUAAAUUUCCAUUUAUAAAUUAGCAUCAGGACAGCCUAACAUAUUUCACUCCAGCUGGUUAUUUAGAUGCUAAAGGUCAUGUCCAUAGAGAACUUUUAUGGAGUGCUUUUCUUUAUUUCAACACAUAUGCUCAGCACUUUUGAUAGUUAAUGUUAUCUAAUUGACAGUUUCUAGCUAAAUUUAUCUCCUCCCCCAAAUUUUCAGUGUUUAUUUAAUCACUGAAAUGUUUUUAAGUUAUAAACCAGAAUAAAUACAGGUCUGUUUGAGUUAGUGUUCAUGUUCUUUAAUGCAGUUACUUUAUUGCUGUAGUACCACAGUCUCAGGACAAAUAACCACUGAAUUCAUGUUUGGAGUAAUGAAAUUCAUAGUGGAGGGCUUAAUUAGCUGCAGUUCACUCUCCUCUGGUUUGGUUUUGCCUUUGGGGUCAAACAACCACUGCAAGGUCCUGCCCUUGGUUCUGUUCAUGGUUCCCUUAAUUUUCAAUUCCUUUGAGAUGCCUAAAUUGCCCUAAACUACUGUUCUUUGUCCAGAUAUUCCCAUAUUUGCUUGGUCACCUUUCCAUGACCUGACUGCAUCUCUUCCAUGUACUGUGCAGUCAGUGCAGACAGGGAUUCACAAAUAUAUCCAGCACUGCCAUUCCAUUUAUCCAGGAGUGGGAAUUGUGCUCACACAUUCAUUCCAGUCGAUUUUCUCAGCCUUUUAUGAGGACUGCUAUGCACCCACCCAGACAUGUUACAGAUGACAGAAUAUUUUGUUUCAGAAGGAACAGCUGGAAGUAUCCCUGAAUAAUUCCUGUUCAAAGCAGGAUUAUCAUGAACCUCAUGGUAAGGUCAGUUAUAUAUUUCUCUUGCUGGAUAUUGAAAACAUCUGGUGAUGGAUAUAUUACAGCUGCUCUGGAAUGCCUUCUCAACUGCUGUAUAUCACUCCUAAGGAAAACAACCAAGCAAACAAUAACAAAAAUUAAAAAAACCUCCAAUUUAACCUUUCUGAGCUGCAGUUUCUUUCUGAUGCGAUUUUUUUAUUCCACCUUUUUAUUCCAUGGGGUUGUUCUUACUUCUGGUACAGUUGCUUUUCCAUGCUUUCAGACAGCUCUUUGUCUUUCUUGGUUUUUUUUUUUUGUGCCAGGCUAGACAAGCCUGACUCAGUCUGUGCUCAGAAGCUGUGUGUUUAGACCCACUCACCAUCUUGGUGAUCUUUUUUUGGGCACCCUCAAGUUUCUCAACCCUGAACUGGGUUUAAGAGUCACCAGGAACUGGCAAACUGCAUUGGAUGCUAGCUCUGCUGCAGACUGGUGCCUUUUUCCUGUUCAGGAGAGCCUCUGGCUGCUGGAACUCAUCACAUCCUCUCCCUGUCUGAAGCUCUAAUCUGGAGAGCUGGAGCUUUUCUCCUGUUGCCACAAUUGCAAUCUUCCAGUGCCCUGUGAAUUAAUUUUUACUUUGGGCACAGAUAUUGAGGAAACCUAGAGUGACUAAGGCUGCUGAUGUUUCUUCUCUGUUUUAGGAAGACUGUAUAACACAUCUGCACUUCCCCAAGAGAAAUCCAUGCACGGAAUAGAAAUGCUUAUGAGAAGAGUUUAAUCAGUGUUGAACAGUUAGAAUACUUUAAAUGCAGAUGAGUCAAGCCUUCCCCUCAUAGGACAAAAGCAUAAAGAAUAAAUAUGUAUAAACUCAUCUUAUGCAAAAGGUCAGAUUAAAUUAACUUCUGCUACAACCUUGAAACUUGAUUUCUCUGCUUCUGAAAAUUCAAUUCUCCACUUUCACCCAAAGUGUUGCAAGAUGCUCUUAUCUGAGUGGCAACCUAACCAUAUCUUUCUGAAAUGGAUUUCCACACAUAUUCCAUAAGUCCAGUGUCUAUAUGCUAAUUGAAGUGAGUUUCAUGUCUUCAAGUAUAUUCUGCUUCUUCAAAUAUGAAACUGUGAUACAAUUCUUACUACAAUCCACCAUGCCUUCCAGUCUCUGAAAGAUAUCACUACAAACACAAACGACUUAUCCAAAGGAACAAAAAAACCCCUCUUCUCCACAUGAAAGUCUUCAGUAAUUCUCUUUUAUUUUGGAGUGGGUGAUUGGAAUAUUGUGACGGCUUUUUUUAUGCAUCCUGUAAAUGGGGUCACACUAAUAAGUGUAACAGCUUUUGGUGCUGAAAACUUCAUUAUUUCAAGGAACGAAUUUAAGAAGUUUAUCAUUCCUUCCUGAAAGCAUAAGUGCUAUUAGGGAUCUCUCUAUUUUAGCCCUGGAGACACUUACUCUUUGCUACUUUUAUAUGGACAAGACCAUGUGCAUCAUUCUCAGCUGUGCAAAGAGGCCAAGGCAUUUCUGAUACUAUCAAAUAUGCAGCUACAUGUGUGGAAAAGGCUGAGUGGGAAUGUUUUUGAUGCAAAAAGAGUCAUCACUUUCAGUAAAAAUGCUAAUUUAAAGUAUAGUUCUUGUGUGUAACCACUUCCAUAUGAUGUAUACCCCAAAUAUAUACGUACACAGAAAGUGUCUUUUCCCAUAAGAGCUGUAUGUUAUUUCCAUUGUGUUUCCAUACAGAAUAUAUAUAUAUAUAUAUACACCAUCCCACCAUACUUGGGAGGAAGCUGGUGUUCAGCCUAACAGGUUUCUGUUGCUUUUGGGGACAGGUUACGUUGGUUGUCCUCGAGAGCUCCUGUGAAAGAGCCAUUCUUGGCUUCAUCCUCGUUGGAGGAGGGAGGUUGUUUUGUGUGGUGAUUUGUCGACCUCUUGGCACACCAUUAGCUGACAAAGCUUAUCUAAGCAGUCCUGAGUUUGAUGUGUGUAAUCUACCAUCCCCAUGGUUUCUGUGGUCAAUGCAACCUGUCAAACUGAGCUGCCCUGUCUCCUAAGACAGGAAACCUGUCACCAUCUCUUAAUUUUCCUUGACAUCCAUCCUCUUCAACCAAGCACUCAUUUUUUAAGCUGGUAGAUCAAUGAUUUAUCAGCUUAUCCACUCUUCUUAUGAAUUUUAGUCUUCUAUAUAUAUUUGACUAUGCAUCCAGUUUGGGAAAUUAGCUCUUUCCCUUUUUCUGCAGUUAAAUCUUCUUAUGAAACAUGAAGGAGAUCAGUCAAGAAGUCUGGGCAAGCCAUGGUAUUCCUUUACCACUGCAUGUCUGAGAAAAAAAACCCCACCACUGAAGACCCACUAGUAUUCAUAGAGUGUUCUGUGUUCGUUUUCUACUGUGUUUGUUUUGCCAAGAAAAAACAUACACUGAUGUUUUGUCCCAUUCCUUUUUGGGUAUCCAGGUGAGUCAGAGUCUACAUAUAGCUCUGACAGACUGAGGAGAAGGCAAAGAUAAACCCUCCUCCUGUCUAGGACGUGACAGGGAUAUACCCCACUGAGAUGGCAGUAAUGACAGAGAAAUCAAAAAGAGCACCUUCCAAAAUCCUAUCCAAUUUAUCAAAAUAAAUCACUCCAUAAUAUUGUUGGAUUUUUGGCAAAAGUAUCAGGUCAAAACACAGAUCAGCAUAUUCCAAAACACAAAGUUCAGAAGUAAAUUGAAAAUUAUGUUGAUAUUUUUCUACAUGGAUUUGUCUCUAAUAAUAAGAGUCCUUAAAAGAGGAACAGUUUAACCUAAAACUUGUUUUCUCAGACUUGAAUAAUGAAUCUAUUUAUUAUUAUCUUAGACUCUAGCACCAAUCAUCUUUAUAACUCCCUUAAAAUAUAAUCAAGUCCUUUAAAAAAAUAAAAAUCUGAUCUUAAAUCUCUAUCUUUCAGUUAGACAAUUAUCCACAGCAUCUGAGACAGCAGACAAUUAAACUUUCUCUAUAUACAGAAUUACCUUCAAUGAACAGUACAAGCCUUAAGUGGGAAAGACUUGUCUGGUGGGAGAUCUUCUUUCUUGUUUAGAGGAAGUUUAUGUUGAUGAGUCUAAUUUAGCCAAUAAAGAAAGUAGGUGAAUUCUGUCCUCUUUCUUAGCCCUGCAAAUUCAGGCACUUAAAAUUAAUCAUUCUAGUUUGUGUAACAAACAAAACGCAUCUCUGAGGCAGGUUUUGAUUGAUGUCUUAUCUUUCCCUGUAUGAAAUGUACAAACACAGUUACUCUGGUUUUGACACUGGAACCAUAUUCUUGGUUUAAUGACGCUUUCUUCAAAGUGUGUUAAAAUUGUAACUCUCAAAAUCAGACUUUGAUUUUUCAUAAUAGUUAAAGUUAACAAUGGCAGCAGAAGUAACCACAUUUUUAUAGUAUCUAUUCAAAUGAACACCUUACACUGCUUAAUUCCUAGCUCAAUGGUAACACCUAAAAUUGCACCUUCACUGUUCCUCAACUGACAUGUGGACUAGAACUCAAUGGACAGGAGCAUAGUGAUGUGAAGAUCCUUAGCCUGUGUUUCAGAGUUGUUUUUUACUUAUUUAUUAAAUAUUUAGAAAAUACCUCUUGGAAUUUACCCCUACUUUUUCCUGUAAAUAAUUAGCUCUGAAAGUGGUUUUUUGUAUGCACACUGUUACAAUUUUUAUUUAACAAAGGCAAGGCUAUAAAAUUUUUUGAAUGAAAUAGUAUGGUUUGAGGUUUUUUCAGAUAAGCAAUUGCCAAAUAAUUUUGGGCUGAGUUUCAAAUGAGUAAUUUCAGCUUGAAGCAUUUCAAAUUGAUGGGGUUUUUAAUAAUAAAAAAACUAUACAAAAUCAAGAGAUUGGCCCCUGAACUUGAUAACCAUUUGUAUUCUUGCAAAGUGGAUGUAAAAUACUAGCAUUGGAUUCAUGCCCAUGUUUGUGCACACAGGCUGCAAAGCAAAGCAUCAGAGAUAUAUCCUUCUCCAAGUACUUCCUUUGGGGCUGAUUGUUCAGGGCAAGCAAUAUGCAUGAUAUAACUGGUGCAUGUAACAGUAACUACAACAUUCUGCAAAUUUGAAUUUAUACAGUAACUUGAUAUCAAGGCUGAACUUU